AUACUUGUUCUCUCUUUUCUCAGCGAGCUACCUCGGUGGAUAGAAAAGACCUGAACGAAGGUUGCAGCACAACUGAGAAUCACAACUCAUUCUCCGUCACCAUGGAAACCAUUGAACAAUCAGAGCUGGCGAUGGACUGUGAAGUAGAGGUCUCUGUGGCUGAUUCACCUGAGCAGGGGAAGGAUUUCAGUGCAGAUGAUGAGCAAAAUGGUUCAGAGACAGAUUUAUCAGAUUUCCCAGGGGAAACAGCGGUACUUGGCAAAUUAUUAACUGACCUUCCAACCGGCACCAUUGAGAUUGACAAGCCUGACUGCUCUGAGACCAGCAUUUGCAGUGAAAUGCCUUGUCAGGAUCAAAAUGAAGCUUUGAUAUUAGAAUUAGGGCAUGAAGAGCUCAACAGGAAUGAGUCAAUCGCCUCAUCUGUGUCUGACACACUCUCCAGUGCUGACAGUGUAUAUGAGAACGAGGCCCAUCGUAAGAGGCAGGACAUACCAGAACAAGAUCCUGAGCAAGAACAAGUCCCUGAAUCUGACCAGUUUCCUGAGCCAGAGCAAGACCUUGAACCAGAGCAAUACCCUGAGCCAAAGCAAGACCCUGAACCAGAGCAAUACCCUGAGCAAGAGGAAGACCUUGAGCUAGGGCACCACCUUAAACAAGAGGAAGACCUUGAGCUAGGGAACCGCCCUAAGCAAGAGGAAGACCUUGAGCUAGGGCACCGCCCUAAACAAGAGGAAGACCUUGAGCUAGGGCACCACCCUGAGCAAGAGGAAGAUCUUGAGCUAGGGCACUACCCUGAGCCAGAACAAGACUCUGAACCAGACCAGUACCCUGAGCCGGAGCAAUACCCUGAGCUAGAGUUAUACCCUGAGCCAGAGCCUGAGGAUAAUGAGCUUAGUCUUGAAGGCGGUGGUUAUCAAAAUGUGGCAAUAGACACAGAGGAAGACCCAGAUCCCCAUGACAUCCAAUUUGAACCACCCAUUACAGAGGAGUCGAUAUUAGAGCAGUGUAUUAGAGAAGAGGCAAUGUCAGAUGUUUCCAAUGAGUCCUGCCAUGGCUUUGAGCCUGACGAAAUGGACGAAUGCCUGGACGCUGAGAUUGUGGCAGCUUCCUCAGACAGUGAUAAUGAUGAAAAAUGGAGAGCAAUAUUCUCUUCUUCUAUAAAUAGAGAAGACGAUGACUCAUAUUUGGACAGUCUUCAGCUGAGUGCCCAGGAGCUGUUUGUGCAGAAAGUUGAGGUGACAGACUUUGAGGAACAAGACAACAACGUUGAAGAAGUCAGUUUUGAGGUUCCACAAGUGGAAGAAGUUCUAGAACAACCUGAAGAUAAAAUUUCCUUUCCUAGCCCUCCACAAGAGGUUAAAUAUAACCCUUUAGGCCUUCAAUGUUUGUCCAAAAUCUCUGAAGAUGAGAGUGAAAAUGGCAGAGAUGCCAAUCAUAACCACACAACCCACCAUAAGCACAUCAAUGCAGAUUCGAACAAGAAGCUACCUAAAGACUUUUGUGUAAUACAAGAAACCAAGAGCAAGAAUGUUAGCACAGAGCAUGUGGACUUUCAGCUGGCUCGUAAACAGUGGCGGGAAAUGGAGGAGCAGACCAUGAACAAGAUUGUCUUACCUACAACCAAGCAGCCCAGCUUCCAUGGCAGCCACAGCUUCAUGUACACACCGGUCCGCAACAUUGAAAGAACUCACAAGAAAGCCCAUGAUCUGGAGAACUUAAAUCUGGUUGGCGAUUAUGCUCACACCCAAUUCAGUCCUUGCUCAGAGGAUUCUGGCCUGGAUGAUUCCAGUUACAGGUCCCCUUACGAUGACCCAGAAACACAAGUUGAAAGGGAGAUUCGCAUAUCAAUGGAGCGGGAGGAAAACUUCAGGAGAGAGAGGGUCUUCUCAAGGAUGGGCAAAUCCACUGAUUGUGCUCCAUCACGAAGUAUCCCCAGAUCUAUAAGCACUCCACUAACACCAUCAUUCAUCAUCACCUCCUCACCCACUAAGGAACCGCUGAAACAUGAAGUAUCAGCAAACAUUAUCAUUCUCGACCCUGGCAAUGAUUUCACCUCGAGCCCAAGAUUUGGCAAAGACCACGUGGCAGCUCAGUCUGGCGAGUGGCGCUCCGAGGACAGCAGCUCCAACCUCAUCAUCCUCGAAACAUCCAAUCUGAUUAUUCGCAGUGCCUCUGAGUUCUCUCUCAACAAAGCCUGUGAGCAGCCCCAGGAGAAAAUGUUCCUGAACAACCCCUUUUUCAAGCUGCGUUCAAGAAGCACAAUGUCACUGGUGGAUGAAGAGAUUAAGAUGGUGAAGCAGAGGGAGGACGAUCUGAAGAAAGAGAGGGCAAAUCUAUAUGGCGAAGACAGGUUCAAUAAUGAAAGGAUAUUGUCAAAUAACAAGGACACUUUGGCAUUUGACAAUUCAGUGGAUGUACCAUUGAAGUGCAAGUCCUCUCCCUCGUCACCAAUGAAAACAGCCUACAGGAUGGAUCGCUCUGCCUUAUCCUGUGAUCACAGAUUUCCAGAUGUCUACACAGGAGGAAGACGCAAGAGUUCCAUGGCUCUGCGCUGGGAGGCGGGCGAGUUUACAAAAACCGAGUAA
ensembl:lncRNA